AUGGCGAGCCCGCAGUGCUGCGCGAAACCACCGGCGCUCAACCCCGCCGCCGGCGAGGGCAAGGUCGUGGACAGCUUCGGCGGGAUCAAGGCGUACGUCGCCGGCGCCCAGGACUCCAAGGCCGCCGUCGUCCUCAUCUCCGACGUCUACGGUUUUGAAGCGCCGAAUCUGAGGAAGAUAGCCGAUAAAGUUGCUUCGUCUGGAUAUUUUGUUGUCGUGCCAGAUUUCUUACAUGGGGAUCCAUUUGUACCUGAAAACGCUGACCGACCAAUAGCAGUGUGGAUAAAGGAGCAUACCCCGGGAAAAGCAUUUGAAGAGGCAAAACCUGUUAUUGCUGCUCUAAAGGAACAAGGAGCGUCUAGUGUUGGGGCUGCAGGUUAUUGCUGGGGUGCAAAGGUAGUUGCAGAGCUAGGGAAAGCUAAUGAGAUCCAGGCAGCUGUUAUGUCGCACCCUUCAUUUGUUACUGUUGAUGAUAUAAAAGAGGUGAAAUGCCCCAUCUCUAUACUUGGAGCUGAAACCGACGUAAUGUCCCCACCAGAAUUGGUCAAGGAGUUCGAGCAGGUUCUAUCCUCUAACUCAGGGAUUGCUCACUUUGUCAAGAUCUUCCCUGGGGUUUCUCAUGGAUGGACCGUAAGAUACAAAAGCGAAGACGCAGCUGCUGUGAAGAGCGCCGAGGAAGCCUUGGCGGACAUGGUUGACUGGUUUAACAAGAACCUCAAGUAA
rnacentral:rRNA from 1 species